UACGUAGGGGGCUAGCGUUGUCCGGAAUCAUUGGGCGUAAAGCGCGUGUAGGCGGUCCGGUAAGUCCGCUGUGAAAGUCGGGGGCUCAACCCUCGAAUGCCGGUGGAUACUGUCGGGCUAGAGUGCGGAAGGGGCGAGUGGAAUUCCUGGUGUAGCGGUGAAAUGCGCAGAUAUCAGGAGGAACACCAAUUGCGAAGGCAGCUCGCUGGGACGUUACUGACGCUGAGACGCGAAAGCGUGGGGAGCAAACAGG
rnacentral:rRNA from 1 species